CUGAGUCCAUGUCAGUUUGAUUCAGCAAUGCACAAAUGUUUGCUGUGAAACAAUAUUGCAUUUGCUUAAAAGCAGAUUACUUUGAAUUCCUA